AUGAUAGAUGCAGCUCAUUUUGUUUAUUCAUUUGUGGCAUCAUAUAUCAUAUCUUACAAAUGUGCUUUUGUGGUGCUCUCAGUGCAGCUGUUGAAUGUGGUUAAGAGGUCAGUUAUCAGGUUAUAUCAAUCCAGGUGCAACAUGUGCAUCAGCAUGACUGAAACCUUUGCCACAAUUUCCCUGUGUAUGACAUGUGGGACCUACAGGCCAAUAUUAACAUGUCGAUUUGCCUUUUAUUUCUCUGCAAGAUGUAGCCCUGCUACUGCAACAGCAGUACAAAUUUGGUGCACCUACAGGCCAUUCAGUGUGACAACAUCCAGCACCAGAAAGAUGCACUGA
rnacentral:rRNA from 1 species